UACAGAGGGUGCGAGCGUUAAUCGGAAUUACUGGGCGUAAAGGGCGCGCAGGCGGAUCUGUAAGUGAGUUGUGAAAUCCCCGGGCUUAACCUGGGAAUUGCGACUUAAACUGUGGAUCUGGAGUAUUGUAGAGGGUAGUGGAAUUUCCGGUGUAGCGGUGAAAUGCGUAGAUAUCUGGAGGAACACCGGUGGCGAAGGCGGCAUCCUGGACCAUUACUGACACUGAAAAGCGAAAGCCAGGGGAGCAAACGGG
rnacentral:rRNA from 1 species